rnacentral:rRNA from 1 species
UACGAAGGGGGCUAGCGUUGCUCGGAAUUACUGGGCGUAAAGCGUGCGUAGACGGUUAUUUAAGUCGGGUGUGAAAGCCCCCGGGCUCAACCUGGGAAUUGCAUUCGAGACUGAAUAGCUAGGGUACGGUAGAGGGAAGUGGAAUUUCCGGUGUAGCGGUGAAAUUCGUAGAUAUCGGGAGGAACACCAGUGGCGAAGGCGGCGACCUGGGCAGAUACUGACGCUGAGGUGCGAAAGCGUGGGGAGCAAACAGG